AUGGUAUGUGGGUGAAUUCUUUAAUUACUUCUGUGGAAGUAGACAAGUGCCACUGGGAUUUGAAUUUGAAAUAGGAUUUGAAAUUCAAAUAAAAUUGACAUGUUACGUGGAUUUGAAAUUGAAAUAGGAUUUGAAUUUGAAAUGUUCAAUUGAAUAAUUCGCUGUCUGAAAUUCAACUUCGUUGUUAAAAUUCAGUUUCGUUGUAAAAAAUUCACUGUCGCUCUGAAAAGACGAACAGACAUUUGCAAAGGAUUUCAGAACUCAACACCCAACAGCCAGCCAAUCCUGUUACGUUUUCUUAGUCACGUGACAUCUCCAUGGCGGUCAUGGGAGAUAACGCUCCACAGCCAAUCCAGUUACGCUUUCGUAGUGACGUAACCGUGACGUUCGUCCACAGAGGGGCGGGGAAGAAGAAGCACCAAAACAAAAACAAAAAAAACAUCUCAUUGGAGGUCAUGGACGCUCACGCGAGCGAACACAACGGUACAACAUUGUUAUCUUUGGUGGCAUUGAUGGUUUUUUUUCGAAAGAUAAUGUGUCUUGGUGCAACAACCUGGCAUCUACCACACUGGCUUUCUUUCAGGGUUCAGUGGAGGAAUUUGGUUUCCCCCUCAGGGGUGGAAAACGUGGAGGUUGCACGUCUCAUGUUUAUGGUUCGUGGGAUAGGAAGAAGCAGCUUCAUAUCUGGAAAGAGCGUUCACAAUCAAAGGAUUGAGCGACUGUGGAGAGACCUGUGGGCAGCUGUGACAUGCAUUUAUGAUGAUGUGCUUCACUACCUUGAAGGGGGCGUACCUCAACAUUUCAAAUGUUGCACACCUCUUCUCUUGCCAUUAUGGCUUCCUGCCACGGCUGCAGGAUGAUCUGGAUACUUUCCACAAUGGCUAGGACAUUCAUCCACUUGGAACUGAAAGUAACAUAUGUCCUAACCAGCACUGGGUUUUUGGUCGGAACCAUCACUCAAUUCUUGAACCUCCCAGUUCCUUGACAGAGAUACAUUUUAAUUGGUGUACAGAUUCCAGACAUCGAAUGGGAAGACAGCGGGCUUCCUCUGCAGGAUGUGUCAAGUGUCCCGUGCCGAACUCUAAUUUGCAACUGACUGAUGAACAAAUGUCAGCUUUAAGGGAUGCAGUCAACCCCAGAGCCACAUUUCAGUCUUUUGGCUGUGAAAUUUACAUUGCUGCAGAUCAGUUUUGGGAAGUUUUUUAUCCUUUAAAAGUUGCUCCUGCAGGAACCACUUCCUGGAAGGUACAAUUGUGCAUUUUUUUAGAACUUCCAAUUCAUCUUACAUUAGAAGAAUCAGAAUACAUUGUUAGUUUGGCUUUUGUGUUAUAUGUGUUAUAAAUGCACUACAAAGUUAUGUUAACACUAACAGUGAAAUGUUUCAUGAAAACAAAUUUCAAUGGCAUAUUUUUAACUGCCAUUAACUGAAUCAGUGCAGUGUAAUGGCAAUAACUCCUCUGAACAUUGGCACGUUGUCACGUCCCAUCGGAACAAGAGGUAGGACCCAAAUGCAGGAACUCGGAAGACGCAAGGUAGUUCAAGAAGAGACACGUUUAUUCUACGCAGAGGUCGGGGAUCGAGCAGGUAGUCCGGUGCAGCAGCGGGAGUUGUGACGUCGGGGAAAGAGAACGGAUGAGCAGACAGGCAGGAGUCGGUACACGGGGAAACAAUCAACGCAGGCAAAAGGAUCGAGGAGUCAGGCUUGCAAGGUUGGUCGGAGAACGGACGAAGUCGGCACACACAGGAUCAAUCAGGAGUACGAGAGUGCUGGA